rnacentral:rRNA from 1 species
GACGAACGCUGGCGGCGUGCUUAACACACGCAAGUCGAACGCUGAAGCCCUUUCGGGGGUGGAUGAGUGGCGAACGGGUGAGUAACACGUGGGUAAUCUGCCCUGCACUCUGGGAUAAGCCUUGGAAACGGGGUCUAAUACCGGAUAGGACACAUCGCCGCAUGGUGUGUGUGUGGAAAGUUCCGGCGGUGCAGGUUGAGCCCGCGGCCUAUCAGCUUGUUGGUGGGGUGAUGGCCUACCAAGGCGACGACGGGUAGCCGGCCUGAGAGGGUGACCGGCCACACUGGGACUGAGGCACGGCCCAGACUCCUACGGGAGGCAGCAGGGGGGAAUCGUGCGCAAUGGGCGAAAGCCUGACGCAGCAACGCCGCGUGGGGGAUGACGGCCUUCGGGUUGUAAACCUCUUUCGACCGGGACGAAGGGUGACUGACGGUACCGGUAGAAGAAGCACCGGCUAACUACGUGCCAGCAGCCGCAGUAA